GGAGAGGUGGCUGAGUGGCUAAAAGCGAUCGCCUCGAAAGCGAUUGGGUCGCAAGAUCCACGUGGGUUCGAAUCCCACCCUCUCCG
rnacentral:tRNA from 1 species